AGAGUUUGAUCCUGGCUCAGGAUGAACGCUGGCGGCGUGCUUAACACAUGCAAGUCGAACGGGAAUGUUUCGCUGAUGCGAUUUCGGUCAAAUCUUGAAGCAUUUUAGUGGCGGACGGGUGAGUAACGCGUGGGUAACCUGCCCUGUACAGGGGGACAACAGUUGGAAACGACUGCUAAUACCGCAUAAGCGCACAGCUUCGCAUGAAGCGGUGUGAAAAACUCCGGUGGUACAGGAUGGACCCGCGUCUGAUUAGAUAGUUGGUGAGGUAACGGCCCACCAAGUCAACGAUCAGUAGCCGGCCUGAGAGGGUGAACGGCCACAUUGGGACUGAGACACGGCCCAAACUCCUACGGGAGGCAGCAGUGGGGAAUAUUGCACAAUGGGGGAAACCCUGAUGCAGCGACGCCGCGUGAGUGAAGAAGUAUUUCGGUAUGUAAAGCUCUAUCAGCAGGGAAGAAAACAAUGACGGUACCUGACUAAGAAGCCCCGGCUAACUACGUGCCAGCAGCCGCGGUAAUACGUAGGGGGCAAGCGUUAUCCGGAUUUACUGGGUGUAAAGGGAGCGUAGACGGUAGACCAAGUCUGAAGUGAAAGCCCGGGGCUCAACCCCGGAACUGCUUUGGAAACUGGUAAACUAGAGUGCAGGAGAGGUAAGUGGAAUUCCUAGUGUAGCGGUGAAAUGCGUAGAUAUUAGGAGGAACACCAGUGGCGAAGGCGGCUUACUGGACUGUAACUGACGUUGAGGCUCGAAAGCGUGGGGAGCAAACAGGAUUAGAUACCCUGGUAGUCCACGCCGUAAACGAUGAUUACUAGGUGUCGGGGAGUUAAACUCUUCGGUGCCGCAGC
rnacentral:rRNA from 1 species